rnacentral:rRNA from 1 species
UACGGAGGGGGUUAGCGUUGUUCGGAAUGACUGGGCGUAAAGCGCGCGUAGGCGGAUCGGAAAGUCGGGGGUGAAAGCCCCGGGGUUCAACCCCGGAAUUGCCUUUAAGACUGCAUCGCUUGAAUCCAGGAGAGGUGAGUGGAACUUCCGAGUGUAGAGGUGAAAUUCGUAGAUAUUCGGAAGAACACCACGUGGCGAAGGACGGGCCUGC